AUUGAACGCUGGCGGCAGGCCUAACACAUGCAAGUCGAACGAGUGGCGGACGGGUGAGUAAUGUCUGGGAAACUGCCUGAUGGAGGGGGAUAACUACUGGAAACGGUGGCUAAUACCGCAUACCAUCAGAUGUACCCAGAUGGGAUUAGCUUGUUGGUGGGGUAACGGCUCACCAAGGCGACGAUCCCUAGCUGGUCUGAGAGGAUGAUCAGCCACACUGGAACUGAGACACGGCCCAGACUCCUACGGGAGGCAGCAGUGGGGAAUAUUGCACAAUGGGCGCAAGCCUGAUGCAGCCAUGCCGCGUGUAUGAAGAAGGCCUUCGGGUUGUAAAGUACUUUCAGCGGGGAGGCGUUACCCGCAGAAGAAGCACCGGCUAACUCCGUGCCAGCAGCCGCGGUAAUUC
rnacentral:rRNA from 1 species